GGCUGGUCCAUGUGCAGGGGUGUUUAUAAGUAAUUUAUCACAACCAGUUACAGAUUUCUUUCUUCCUUCUUCACUCCCACUGCUUCACUUGACUAGCCUUAA
ensembl:misc_RNA Y_RNA Y RNA